ACGGCUCAGUAACACGUGGAUAAUCUGCCCUAAGGUCAGGCAUAACACCGGGAAACUGGUGAUAAUUCCUGAUAUACCAUAGAUACUGGAAUGUUCUGUGGUCAAAAGCUCCGGCGCCUUAGGAUGAAUCUGCGGCCUAUCAGGUUGUAGUGGGUGUAGUGUACCUACUAGCCGACGACGGGUACGGGUUGUGAGAGCAAGAGCCCGGAGAUGGAUUCUGAGACAUGAAUCCAGGCCCUACGGGGCGCAGCAGGCGCGAAAACUUUACACUGCGGGAAACCGCGAUAAGGGGACACUGAGUGCCAGCAUCUUAUGUUGGCUGUCCGCAUGUAUAAAUAGCAUGUGUUAGCAAGGGCCGGGCAAGACCGGUGCCAGCCGCCGCGGUAACACCGGCGGCCCGAGUGGUGGCCAUUAUUAUUGGGUCUAAAGGGUCCGUAGCCGGUUUGAUCAGUCUUCCGGGAAAUCUGACAGCUCAACUGUUAGGCUUCCGGGGGAUACUGUCAGACUUGGGACCGGGAGAGGUAAGAGGUACUACAGGGGUAGGAGUGAAAUCUUGUAAUCCUUGUGGGACCACCAGUGGCGAAGGCGUCUUACCAGAACGGGUCCGACGGUGAGGGACGAAAGCUGGGGGCACGAACCGGAUUAGAUACCCGGGUAGUCCCAGCCGUAAACGAUGCUCGCUAGGUGUCUGGGACGGUGCGACCGUUUCAGGUGCCGCAGGGAAGCCGUGAAGCGAGCCACCUGGGAAGUACGGCCGCAAGGCUGAAACUUAAAGGAAUUGGCGGGGGAGCAC
rnacentral:rRNA from 1 species